GACGAACGCUGGCGGCGUGCUUAACACAUGCAAGUCGAACGAAGUGGCGAACGGGUGAGUAAUACGUGAGUAACCUGCCCUCCUUUUUGGGAUAAGCCUUGGAAACGGGGUCUAAUACCGAAUAAAGGGGGAUGGGCUUGUGGCCUAUCAGCUUGUUGGUGGGGUGAUGGCCUAACAAGGCGGUGACGGGUAGCCGGCCUGAGAGGGUGACACGGCAACUGGGAACUGGGCCAAGGCCCAACGUGCUACGGGAGGCAGGAGUGGGGGACAUUGCACAAAUGUCGAAAGGCGGAAGCAGCGACGCCGGAUGGGGGAUGACGGAUGUAGGGACGUAAACCUCUGUCGCUAUCGAACGGGUAGGUGGAGAAGAAGCGACGGCUAACUACGUGCCAGCAGCCGCGGUAAUAC
rnacentral:rRNA from 1 species